CAUUACAAGUGACCCCGGUCUUACCACCGGGAUGUUCAUAACCCUUUGUUGUCCGACUCUGUUGCCUCCGGGGCGACCCUGCCUUCGGGCGGGGGCUCCGGGUGGACACUUCAAACUCUUGCGUAACUUUGCAGUCUGAGUAAACUUAAUUAAUAAAUUAAAACUUUUAACAACGGAUCUCUUGGUUCUGGCAUCGAUGAAGAACGCAGCGAAAUGCGAUAAGUAAUGUGAAUUGCAGAAUUCAGUGAAUCAUCGAAUCUUUGAACGCACAUUGCGCCCUCUGGUAUUCCGGAGGGCAUGCCUGUUCGAGCGUCAUUUCACCACUCAAGCCUGGCUUGGUAUUGGGCGCCGCGGUGUUCCGCGCGCCUCAAAUCGACCGGCUGGGUCUUCUGUCCCCUAAGCGUUGUGGAAACUAUUCGCUAAAGGGUGUUCGGGAGGCUACGCCGUAAAACAACCCCAUUUCUAAGGUUGACCUCGGAUCAGGUAGGGAUACCC
rnacentral:rRNA from 1 species